UUAUUGUGUCAUAAAUAACAU
rnacentral:snRNA from 1 species